CAGCGAUGCUGUCCUUGGGCUCUAAGCAGGCGGUGUUGUGAGGAUCUGGGUUGGGUUUAGUAAGUCUUGCUCAACAAACAUGUACGAACCUCUCCACGUGCCAGGCGAGGUACCGGGUACCGGCAGACGAGGAGGGAAGGCUGGCCCUCCCCGAGCUCGUCCGCUGCGGCAGCCCCAUCAGACCACGGUCAGACUCAUCUCAGGCAGAAAAACCAAGGCCAUUGAUUCUGUACAGACACACCGCAGAGAUACCGUGGGUUUGGUUCCAGGCACUGCAGUGCAGGACACACCACAAUCAGGAGCUCGAGAAAAGAAUCACGCUUCUGCAAUCCUUCAGCUCGCUGGAACGAAGCAAACAAACACGCACCAUACGUCAGAACAGGAGUUAUAGGGGGAUGGGCAUCGCUCUCAGUUGUGCCGCCUUACCUGCCAGGGAGACGCGGAGGCUGUCACCCUGCUCAUCCUGGUUCUACGUCUAGAGAAUCACUGCACGAUCAUGCCUGCUGCACAAAGAUCAGAAACCACCGGAUCAGCAAGUAACAAAGUUUAAUAGACGUGGGGGGAGAAUAGGUCCCACACUUUGGCCUCAAGGGAAGCUCAGAGUCACGUCGGCACGUGGGAAAGGAGACACAUCUGACCCGAAUACGUGAACUGCUUUCAUCUGUCAGUGAAAUUAGGAAAGGCCGUGACACUUGCUAAUGUUAUCACGAGCUCCCUUUUUUUUUUUUUUUUUUUUUUUGCUUCAUAUUUAUAAUUGUGUAGACAGACAGAACACAUUCCGGUCUCCACUAACCAUCUAGAGAGGAUGCUGAGAUUGUAAGCUAUGGAAGUAGCUUUCAGCUUAGCCUGGUACUUGCACUUUGGGGGAAGAGUUGUGUGUCUGGUUCUGCGUGAUUUGUCUUGUGAAGAAUUCCUCCUGUGACUCUUGGAGGUUUGCGGAUGAGCGUCCGUCAGCAACUGCCGUGCGGAAAACGAGCAAAGUUCUGAAACGUGACUCCCAGCCCCCAGUGGAGCUGGGGUUCUCACUCCGGAGACAUUCAUCGGUGGGGCUUGCUGGCAAAGCAGCCAUCUGCGAGAUAAAUAAGCUCCGGGUGGGCCACGCGGCCUUGAGGAGGGGCGUCCCAGCUGGGGGGCUCGGCGGGCUGGGGGGGCUUGGCUGGCAGGGCACCGGGGAGGCCGCCUCUCCCGCCGCCCGGUCCAGCUUCCGCAGCACAGCAUCGCCCGGGUUCCCUGCAUCGUGGGCCCGAGGGCAUCUGCUAAGAUCUCUGAAAGUCAACCCACCUCCGCGGUGGGGUCAGAUCGCAUGCGGCGCCCUCUCCUCUCCGUGUGCAGACCUGCCCCGCCCUGCCUGGCCCCCACCAUACACCGCGCUGCACUUCCUUCUGUGCCUAAACGUGUUGCUUCACAUCCUUGCUUCUGAAGCACCGUGGGACGUGCGCCCUCCCCUGAAGUGGAAAGACCAUCCCAGGAGGCCCUGAGCAGAGGGUCCUGCUGCCCUGGGGCCGGCCCUCCCCGCAGGCUCUGCAAGGCCCUGGAGACGGCCAAUCUCAUAAGCCAAUUUUAGACUCUGAGUCUUGCUGCAAGUUGAUUCAUUUGAACUAUAAUAUAAAAUAUUGUGUUUAUUUAACCCCUGUAAGCCGAUCUCCUUGGUCUUUGUGAACUGGCUGGGCAGCUAAGGGCCCAC